UCCAAUUGAUUUGUGAAAAUAAAUGUUGGUUUGUCUUGCAGGAGGGGCUUCCGGUAUAAAACCAGGGGUAGAAGCUCCUCAGCAUAUCAUUGUUGAGAUCAGUCAAUAAAACUGCAGUCUUGCUGGAUCCAGCAUGUGCUAAUGCUCAAUGUUCUUUUGACAAGUUUACAUGAGUUUAUUUUUCUUUUUGCUUUGUUUUUCUGUAUAUAAUUUUUCACAACCACACCAUACCCACUUGAACUGUAUUGUUUUUGUCUGGUGAAAAGAGCAAACAAACCAUACACCGAGUGAAGAUUAUAUUCCUGCCUCCUUGUGUCUUUCCUCCACCACUUAGCCAACCCUUACAGUAAUUAUGACACAUUGGGUUGUAUCUCAAUAAACCUGUUAACUGCACCUGGAUCCCUUUCAUGCAGCAUUUUUAAUCAUAAAUCAUCACAGAAUCAGUCAACACCGGGUGACAAUCCACAACAACAUGAUUAAGAAAUGCAGGUUAUCAACAUCACUUCCAAGUGUCUCAUUUCCAAACACACACUCACUGAGGAUCAAAGCCCCAAAAGCCAGUACUAGCAAGCAGAAGCUUGAGCAUUGCCACAUCAAUGUUCUUUAUUGGUUUUUCAGGAAUGAGGAAGUGUGUGAGGCAGCGUCUUUACGGGAAGGCAGCGAGUGUGGGAGGGAGGAGCUAAUGGGAAUGCAUGUGGGUGGGGAGGUUAUGACAAAUAUUUGUUAAGACAGACAGGAAGAGAGGGAUGAGAAUAAAGGCAAAGUGCAAAAGUGGAAAAGUUUAAUUACAUUUAAGGCUGGGUAAUCACAUUUCUCAUCUUACUCACACUGCGGUUGGUCUCUAUGUACCCACCCAGCCUUUGGAUUAUCAUUGUUACUGUGUUACUACUUGCAACCUCUUGGCAAACCUGAUGGUUAUUGUGAAAGAAAAUGUCAUACCAGAGUCUUAUUUGGCAAACUGAAGGAUUAUUCAAAAAGGGAGUUAGUGUUGCUUGGGGCAAUAAUACACUGUGUUCUAUUUCACAAUGUCAUGAAAAGUUGGUAAAAUCUGUUCCAGUUGAAGAAAUGUGCAAGUAGACAGGCACAGCACACACACACAGCAAGACAGCAAAAACACAAUUGUGUGGAAACUCAUACAGAAACCAGCAUGAUUCUCAGUGUCUGUGAUUGUAUUUUUAGGUCCAUCUCUGGUGUUGCUGUGCCCAUUGUCUCUCUCGCUGACAGAGAGGGAGAGCAGGGUGACCUUUUCCCUUAAAGGACGUGGCAGCAGCCGGCACAAUGUGUAAACCGAGGAGUCAGCCAAUAGGAAUGCGGCACUCCCCGGCAUCUCUUGGAAACCUCGCAUGGAUUCUCACAGAGAGACGGAGUGUUUAGAGGGAGAGUUCUGGGAGGCACUUGGUUUGAUGAUGGUUUCAUUCGCCCCAUCGAGAUGCUCCCAGCUGGACGAGAAAUUUGAAUCCAGUCAACCUGGUCGACCUGGUCGUGAGCCUGCUUGUUUAGCCCUUUGGCUAUUGCCACUCCCUUAACCUCAGGUCUAACCUUAUUCUGCAAAUCAGGAACCAAAGACCAGCAGCAGCUUUUACUUCUGUUGAGACAAAUAACUAUGAUGAUAACUAUGAUGAUGCUGCUGAAACUCAGUAGAACUCAGUGGAGUUUCUGUUUUGAUUAUUUAGGCAUGUAGCCAAUGUGCAAGUGACUCUAUACAUGCUGCUAAUCUAUAUUGCUUUAUUUAUUGCUUUUAAGAACAGCUUGACAUUUUGGGAAAAACGCUUUAUGCGCUUUCUUGCCGAGUGUUGUCUGUAUGCUAAUAUGAAGCUAGAGCUGGGAGGCGAUUAAAGACUGGAAAAUGCUAGCUUGACUCACUCCAAAGCUCAAAACUUUGCCAACCAUCACCUCUAAAGCUCACCAAUAUUUUGAAUCUUGUUUGUUUAAUCUGUACAAGCAGAAAUGUAAAGACAUGUUGUGGUUUUAAAGGGAGUUACAUGCUGUAACCAUUACUUGGCAAGCUAGUGGCCUGGCACAGGGACUACCUGGGUCUCUGCUGGCUGCAACUUCACAGUUCACAAGACUUCUGUUUCUGUACGGGAUAGCUGUUUCCCUCUGCUUCCAGUCUUUGCACUAAGCUAAGCUAAAUGCCUCCUUGCUCCAGCUUAAUACUUAACGCACAGACAUAAAAGUGGUAUUCAAUUCAAUUUUAUUUUAUUUAUAUAGCGCCAAUUCAUAACAGAAGUUAUGUCAUUGCACUUUUCCUAUAGAGCAGGUCUAGACCGUACUCUUUAUAAUAUUAACUACAGAGACCCAACAAUUCCCACCAUGAGCAAGCAUUGGGCGACAGUGGCAAGGAAAAACUUCCUUUAAGAGGCAGAAACCUCUGGCAGAACCAGACUCAAUGGUGGGCGGCCAUCCGCUGCUGCCGUGUUAGGUUUUGAUAGAGAGAGAGAGAGAAGUUUGUAGAGAGAGAGAGAGAAGGAGAGGUUUAGAGAGAGAGAGGUUUUGGGGGAGGGGGUGGGGGUGGGGCAUGCACAAUGCAAAUACCACCUAGAAUUUUUUAAAACAGUAGAAAUGUAAUUGUAGUGUCAAUAUCAGUAAAUCAAUAAUAAUAGAAAUGACAGCUAUAGGAAAAAUAAUGUCAGCAUCAGUAACAGAGCGAAUUACAACAGCUGUAGUAGCAGUUGUUGAGCAGGAACACGGGGGCAGCAAGUGGCCCACUAUAGUAUGGUAUAUCUCCUAACUCUAUCCUUAGACCAGAGGGUGUCCUGUGCUGUACAAAAUGUAAAGCCCUUGGAGGCAAAUUUGUGAUUUUGCAAUGUAUAAAUAAAAUUUGCAAGGAAGCGAAUAAGCGAGUAUUUCCCAAAAUAUCUAAUUAUUUCUUUAUGGUGACAGUGUGCAGUAAUUGGACAUUUACAGGGACAAGAAAGAGGAUGACAUGGCAGAGGUCAUGACAUAAACUCGAACACACACAAUCAUGAAUGCAGAGCAGAACCCUUUUUGGUGAUUUCGGCCAAAUCCAUUCUUCCGAGCUUCCUCGGCCUCCCCUUCCCAUAACCUUUCCGAUUCAGAGAUCUGCUGCCUCCUCCUCCCACAGCCUAUCAGCUGCUUAGGAAAUUAGCCAAAGAGAAAGUCAGGGUCACCCCUGGCUCAGACAAGUUACUCCCACUACCCUGGAAACCCAACAGGCAUCCUGGAGACAAACACACAGAGCCACUGAGCUACCACAGUUCCCAGCCAGGCCUGGGAAAAGUACUGAACGUUUUAACUAAAGCAAAUAAAAGAAAAGAGGCUGUUCAAGUGUGUUCAGUGAGAGGCUUCAACAGGCCUGUGUCAGCUCAAAACUACUAUUUUCUUCCCUGUUUUGAAUUUCCUCUCUGUUAUUUUCUUCUGGUUGUUAGAGGAGUGAAGUGCAAUGACGGAUUAAAACGGACAUUUCAGGUGCACUUUCAGUUUAUUUCCAAAUGAAGUGGCUUAGGGAAUUGUAUGAUCUGGAGCGUGAAUAUUUCAAGACAUGAGAAACUGAGAAUGUAAAUAGUAAGUGUCAAUUUGACAGAGAUAACAAUGUGCCUUUUGUCUGGCAACGGCAGUUUUCUGUCACAGAAACUGAGAUUUUCCACAUAAAUGUCAAAAUGGCAGUUAAUGCUCUCUGGUUCUCGUAAUCUUUUAUCAGCAACUCUGGUAUUUUUCGAGGGAACUUCAACGGACAAUCUGGGCGGGGGAAAAAGAUGCCAACAGGAGCACUUGCACAAUAUGGUGGUGUGUUUAUGUAGCCUACCCAGUCCAAACCUCCUCAUACCGUUAGCCUAGACCUCCUCGCUCCCUCCAUGUCCAGGCUUGUUAGUCAUGGAGGUGUAACACGUCCAGGGAUGGCCACAACCCGUGGGAUCCAGCGUAGCUGUUGAGGGAAUGCUAAGGUGGGGUGGAGAGCUGUCCGCCCUCUCUCUCUCUUCCUGUCUCAUUACGAAGUCUGAGUCAUUCAUAAAAAUGUGAAAACAAAGUCAACAGCAUAACUGCCUUCAUGUGACUACAAGUUUAGAAAGAGAAUGACUGCCGGCUGUCUUGCAGAUUAAACUGAACAGCAGGAGUUUUACACAGAAGACAGAGAAAAACAUUCUUACUUAAUGAGGCAAUAAAUAACACCCCCUUGGGAACAUCAGUUGAUGAACAAAUGCUUUGCUGCGGUGUUUGCUUUCAAUAAUUUCAUACUCAGUGUCCUAUUUGCAAUGAAUCUACAAAUGUAAACCUAGCAGAAAAUACAAUUAUCAUCAUUGGUG